GGAAAGACCCCGUGAACCUUUACUGCAGGCUUCUAUUGGUCGUGAGCAUAAAUUGCGUAGGAUAAGUGGGAGACGUUGAUCCGGACCUUUUGGGGUUCGGGGAGUCGUUGGUGAAAUACCACUCUGUUUACGUUUACGGCCUAACCCCGAUUCCCGUGAAACCGGGCGGGGGACCAUGGGUGCCGGGCAGUUUGACUGGGGCGGUCUCCUCCUAAAAGGUAACGGAGGAGCGCAAUGGUACCCUCAGCGCGGUUGGCAAUCGCGUGUAGAGCGUAAACGUAUAAGGGUGCUUGACUGCGAGACACAUAGGUCGAGCAGGUGGGAAACCAGGCGUUAGUGAUCCGGUGGUUCCGUGUGGAAGGGCCAUCGCUCAUCAGAUAAAAGGUACUCCGGGGAUAAC
rnacentral:rRNA from 1 species